CGGAAGGGAGCAGCUGAUGCCGUCAUCCCGGAUGCUCAUCUGCCGCGACGAGGACGAGAAGAAGGAAGCCGCCAAGGCUGUGGCGCCCAAG
rnacentral:SRP_RNA from 1 species